GCCGGCGAUGGGGUACAGGAAGUCCUCGAUCGGCGCGAGGCCGAUCGCGAGACCGAUCCGGUGCGCGUCGUCGUACGCGACGAUGCCGGUGGCG
rnacentral:tRNA from 1 species